GACGAACGCUGGCGGCGUGCUUAACACAUGCAAGUCGAACGGAAAGGCCCUGCUUUUGUGGGGUGCUCGAGUGGCGAACGGGUGAGUAACACGUGAGUAACCUGCCCUUGACUUUGGGAUAACUUCAGGAAACUGGGGCUAAUACCGGAUAGGAGCUCCUGCUGCAUGGUGGGGGUUGGAAAGUUUCGGCGGUUGGGGAUGGACUCGCGGCUUAUCAGCUUGUUGGUGGGGUAGUGGCUUACCAAGGCUUUGACGGGUAGCCGGCCUGAGAGGGUGACCGGCCACAUUGGGACUGAGAUACGGCCCAGACUCCUACGGGAGGCAGCAGUGGGGAAUACUGCACAAUGGGCGGAAGCCUGAUGCAGCAACGCCGCGUGCGGGAUGACGGCCUUCGGGUUGUAAACCACUUUCGCCUGUGACGAAGCGUGAGUGGCGGUAAUGGGUAAAGAAGCACCGGCUAACUACGUG
rnacentral:rRNA from 1 species